CUUCAGCGAGCCCAGCCACAGCGGACGGUCCGCGGGCCGCUCCUGCCCAUAGGUGGCCAGCAACGCCUGCGCCUC
rfam:Streptomyces albus subsp. albus strain NRRL B-2513 B2513contig126.1, whole genome shotgun sequence.